rnacentral:rRNA from 1 species
CGCUCGCUUGCCUAUGGAAGCCCUCGCAGCGACUCUAAAGAAGUGCCCCAGCCUGCGCCCUGAGUGGGAACUGGCGACGCCAUCAAUCCGCGCUGGGAGGACGCCCUCGGGGUUCAACCAGAAUCUCUUGAAUGAGUUCACAGAUCAAACGAUGGCGGCCAACCGGAAGUGGUUUACAUAUGACCGCCCCGGCCCU